CACCCACCCACGCUCCCACAGGGGUCAGUGAGGGGGCAUCUGUAGGCCACAAUGGCGACGGUCCGGAUGGAGGCUGCAGUUGGAGAGCUCGUGGCAUAAUUCAGGGCUGGAGCAGCACGGCUGUUGGGGGUGCGGCCUGAUGACAGGAUCUAUGAGGAGUUUGGAGAGGUGCUACAGCGGGCGGAGAAUGCACAGGACAUUGCCGCCGGAAUAGUCAGCUGUCCAGAAAACAGUGCAAAGAGUUGCCGUCACUGGAAUUCUUGCCUUUGCCUCUAUUCCAAAUCCACUAUUUUACCAGGCAGGGAUAACGUGUUGACAUUUAUUAUACCUUUUUGGACUUUUCCUGAGCCAUUCUUUGAUUGGGAUAUCUGUCAUGAAAAUGCCCACUCAGAAACGUUUUGUGAUCAUAACCUUCAGCAAGCACAUUGUGGACCAGAUGGUGGCCCUUGUUGGGUGAGUAACCCAAG